rnacentral:lncRNA from 1 species
AAGCAUUUAUCACUUAUCCCAAAACCCCGAAGAUUCCAACUAUGAUUUCGCAAGAAGAGAGUCUUGUUCUUCACGAUUCGCUGCUGCCAAAACUCAAAACUCAAACUAAAAUAGAAGACAACAUCAUUCGAAACAGCAUUAAAAGAAGCCUCAUUAACUCGAGCAAAACCUUACUACCACCACUUACCAAAAUGCAUGAAAAGAGGGAGCUGAAAACACCACAAUUAACAAAGAGAUGAAGAUAGAAAUCAAUAGAAAGAAAAAAAAAAGAAAAAUCGACAGUGGGAAAUAAAAAUAAAAAUGUCAAAAAAGGGGAGAGGUUUUUUUUCUGGAAAAGCGAAAAAUAAAAUUACCACUCAGGAAAUCUGACAACCUAUCCCUAAUUUUUC